ACAUGCAUACAAGGAGAAUGCCAGGUGAACGUGAAGACCAUCAUUUGCAAGCCAAGAGAGGCCUGGAGCAGAUCCUUCAGAGCCCUCAGAAGGAACCAACCCUGCUGGCACCUUGAUUUUGGACUUCCAGCCUCCAGAACUAAGAACUUGAUGUAUACCUCCUGACCUGUUCAUCUUGUAGCUGCCUCUUGACAGCACAUGUUGGCACCUUUAGAAAGAUCUAGAAAUCCACGUGUUGUACAUAAAUCUGGGGCUGUUGUUACUGCAGAUGUACCUUCCACAACUUGAUUUUCUGUGAUGUCAAUUAUUCAGGUAAAAAUAAGAUGUCACUAAGUGGUCCUUUGAUUUUGGCAUUUCAUUUUCAAAUUU